ACUGUAAUUGGACCGUCGGUCUACUGAGCAAUUACACUCGCUCCGAUGGAAGGUAUUCCGUUUGUCAU
rnacentral:pre_miRNA from 1 species